CGGACUUCCGGGGUCGCGGAACGCCCGCGCCCGCGUGGGACCCGCACCGCCGGACAGCGCCUCCUCGCCCCUCGCGGGCGCCAGUGCAAUCGCCGCCCGUGGAGCUGCGCGGGCACCAGGCUGCCGGCUGUCACCGGGCGGACGGCUCCGCGGGGCUCCCGCCGCUCUGGGGCGCCACCGCCGAGGCGCAGCGCUGACCCCGCGCCCUCCCUGCCGCCGAACUUCCCGAAAGUCCGCCGAGAGCCCCGCGCCGGGAGCGCCAGGACGGAAGUGAGGAGCGGGCCGCGCCGCCCUUUGUUACCGCCGGGGACCCGCGCCCGCCCGCAGCCCCCGAAGGCCCGGGGACGUCCGCCCUCCCGCGGCGCCUCCCACCCGGCCGAGGCCGACCCCGCCUCCGGCUGGCCGGCGCGCGGCCAGAGCGAGUGAGGGGUCCAGCGGCCCGGCCAGCGGCGGAUCCACCCUAGGCCACCGCGCCCCGCCAGCCCUCCUCACCUUCCCGGGCUUCCCGCGCCCCGACCGGCCGCUCCCCCGGCCCGCGGCUCAGCGACCAGCUCCGCCGCGCGCGGCCCCUCGGCGCCUCUCCCCGCGGGCCGCCGGCCGGGCCCGGGAGGCUCACUUCGCCCUCACCUGGGGCGCGCACGGGUCCCCUCCCCUCGCCGGCCCGCGGCGGUCGGGAGCUGGCGCCCUCUGCCGGGCCACCGCGCCGGAGCACCCGGGACCCCGGGGACGGGCGGCCAGGCAGGGACGGCGCCCCCGCCGAGGUCACCUGCUGCCAGCCCGGCCUGCGGCCAGGUCCGGGCCGAGGGACCCAGCUGUGCCAACGCCCGGGCCCCGCGCCCCCCAGGAAGGCGCCAAGGAGGCCGGCAGCCCGGGCGCACCCGGCUUUCCAGCUUAACGUGUCCGUGUGGGAAGGCUGUCACGAAGCCACUGAGCUGCCCAGGCUGGGCUUGAACUUGCCGUCGUCCUGCCUCAGCCUCCCAGGGUGCUGAGAUCACAGCCUGGGCCGCCACGCCCGACAAGGGGGAACGACACCUUCUGACUUCUUCUAACUCAGAGCCAAGCCUCCCCCGACACGCCAGUCGGGGGCUACCGAUUGUCACGGCACUGCAGACCCCCUGUGUCCACAGCUGCGUUCUUCCCCGUCUGAGUGGACAGCACAGACAGCGACGGUGCUGCCUGCCGGGCCCAUAGGAAGCACAGAGCCCUGCGGUCCUGCUGUCCUUAACCUCCGGGAGGCCCUGGGCGCUUCUGGGCGGAUCCCGCGCCUACUGCCUCGCCCCGCCCCGCCUGGGCCCCCUCUCGGCCAGGCCACAGGGGCGCCCGGCGCGCUGCCCCCCCCCCCACACCCUUGGAACCUUCUCGGGCUGGAGGGAAGGUGUCAGGGCCCACCUUCCUCUCCACAGCGCCCACAGGCCCCCAGUCACGGCCUCCUGGGGCGGGCGGCUUCCGUGUCCCCACUGUGCUGUGAACGCGGGACAACACCCUGCUUUUUGUAAGUUUGAAGUCUAGAUUGAAGGUGAAGCUACAGAAAGCUUCAUACAUGUAGAUGCGCUGUGUGUAUGUUGUGUAUAUAUGAGCGUGUGUGUGCACACUAACAUUAGCUUUAAGGGACAGCUGCAUUUGUAGAAGUUCAGAGGAUUUGGCCAAACUUCCCAUUUGUUUGCAAAUACCUUACUUGGAGCAAUUUUCAUGUUUCUGAUAAUAUUUCUGUGAGCGCUCUGCCUGAAGUUACCUCUUGUUUGAGUCAUGGGUUCGUCUUUCAGAAACUCCAAUUAGCUUCUCCUAUACCCAAAGUAGCCAGGGUUCUUUAGACAUCGCUUUCAAACUGCUGGGCCCGAAGUCAAUAUUGUGGGUAAGGAUCAUCAUCUUAUCUUAUUUUUUCUUUAUGCGAUAGAAUUAAAGACUAAAGCACAUCUACAGGCUUAGUGGAUUGUUUUCAUGGGGCAUCUGUUUCAGUCCACCGUGUUUGGGUGUGGGAGGGAGUGAGUGCGUGCACAUGAGUAGUUACAGUGCCAUCAAAUGGGUUCCUUCCUGUGGUCCUGAAGCAACUGCCUCGGGCAGCGCUGGAGCUGAUCUGCUUUCCGCAGAGCCAGGUGGAGGCCUCUGAACAGAGGCACUGGCAGAGCAGCCAGUGCCAUGCGGCUCCCUCUGCAGAGGGCGGGUGCCCCGACAUGCUUCUGUGCACAGGAGAGCUGCGGAGACCUGGUGGGAACAAAAAGUGAGACGGCACGGGCGGUGAGGGAGCCCAGGUUUGCUGCCAGGCAGAGCCAGCCUUCCCGGAGGGUCCCAAACCUGCCAGAGGUGCAGCACUGUGGGUUUCCUAGCCCAGGCUCAUCGCCAGUGUCCCAAGGCUGAGUGUGUUACUGUACUCCUGAGGUGCAAUGCUGAGGUGAAAUGCCACUUCCUGUGACAGGCGAAGGUGGCAGCAGCGCCCAGGCAAGGUGUGCCGCGGACAGGCUGAGCUUUCUCAGCUCCAGAGGGCGCGAGGCUCCAGGCCUGUUGACAGAAGCAGGAAGGAGACACGAUUGUGUGACCGAGGAAAAUUGGGAGCAGCGCUUAGAACACUGAGCUUGGAAGUCACGCCCAGCGUUUCCAGCCCCGUGGAAGGCCUGUGAGGAGGAACCGCAUCCAGCCCACAGAGUCGGGGAGGCAGUGAGAAGCAGCGCCUGUAAAGGACAGGCCAGUGCUGCGCUUCCAUCCCCAGUGUUGGAGCAGAACGAUCACUCGCAGUAUUGACCAGCUGGUUGGACUGGUAGCAGCUUGUGUAGGCUGACUGAAGAGACCACCUAAUGGAGAUUGUUGCUGUUGCUGCUGCUGUG
ensembl:lncRNA